UUUAGUGGGGAACGGGUGAGUACCACGUAAGUAACCUGCCUUUAAGACGAGGAUACAAUUGGAAACAGUUGCUAAGACUGGAUAGGAAAUUAGAAGGCAUCUUUUAAUUUUUAAAAGACCUUUUUCGAAAGGUAUACUUAAAGAGGGGCUUGCGGCACAUUAGUUAGUUGGUAGGGUAAAAGCCUACCAAGACCAUGAUGUGUAGCUGGACUGAGAGGUUGAACAGCCACAUUGGGACUGAGACACGGCCCAAACUCCUACGGGAGGCAGCAGUAGGGAAUUUUCGGCAAUGGAGGAAACUCUGACCGAGCAACGCCGCGUGAACGAUGAAGUAUUUCGGUAUGUAAAGUUCUUUUAUUGAAGAAGAAAAAAUAGUGGAAAAACUAUCUUGACGAUAUUCAAUGAAUAAGCCCCGGCAAACUAUGUGCCAGCAGCCGCGGUAAUACAUAGGGGGCGAGCGUUAUCCGGAAUUAUUGGGCGUAAAGGGUGCGUAGGCGGUUUGGUAAGUCCAUAGUUUAAUUUCAGUGCUUAACACUGUUCUGCUAUAGAAACUAUCAGACUAGAGUGAGAUAGAGGCAAGUGGAAUUCCAUGUGUAGCGGUAAAAUGCGUAAAUAUAUGGAGGAACACCAGAGGCGUAGGCGGGCUUGCUUGGGUCUUUACUCGAACGCUGAGGCAGGAAAGCGUGGGGAGCAAACAGGAUUAGAUACCCUGGUAGUCCACGCCGUAAACGAUGAGUACUAAGUGUCGGGGAAACUCGGUACUUGAAGUUAACACAUUAAGUACUCCGCCUGAGUAGUACGUACGCAAGUAUGAAACUUAAAGGAAUUGACGGGACUCCGCACAAGCGGUGGAUCAUGUUGUUUAAUUCGAAGAUACACGAAAAACCUUACCAGGUCUUGACAUACUCUGCAAAGCUAUAGCAAUAUAGUGGAGGUUAUCAGGGAUACAGGUGGUGCAUGGUUGUCGUCAGCUCGUGUCGUGAGAUGUUAGGUUAAGUCCUAAAACGAGCGCAACCCUUGUCACUAGUUGCCAGCAUGUUAUGAUGGGCACUUUAGUGAGACUGCCAAUGAAAAAUUGGAGGAAGGUGAGGAUCACGUCAAAUCAUCAUGCCCCUUAUGAUCUGGGCUACAAACGUGAUACAAUGGCUGUUACAAAGAGUAGCUAAAACGCGAGUUUAUAGCCAAUCUCAUAAAAGCAGUCUCAGUUCGGAUUGAAGUCUGCAACUCGACUUCAUGAAAGUUGGAAUCGCUAGUAAUCGCGAAUCAGCAUGUCGCGGUGAAUACGUUCUCGGGGUUUGUACACACCGCCCGUCAAACCACGAAAGUUGGUAAUACUCAAAAACGGUAGCCUAACUUCUUCGGAAGAGGGAACUGUCUAAGGUAGGAUCGAUGAUUGGGGUUAAGUCGUAACAAGGUAUCCCUACCGGAAGGUGGGGAUGGAUCA
rnacentral:rRNA from 1 species